rnacentral:rRNA from 1 species
AUUGAACGCUGGCGGCAUGCCUUACACAUGCAAGUCGAACGGCAGCACGGGAGCAAUCCUGGUGGCGAGUGGCGAACGGGUGAGUAAUAUAUCGGAACGUGCCCAGUCGUGGGGGAUAACUACUCGAAAGAGUGGCUAAUACCGCAUACGAUCUCUGGAUGAAAGCGGGGGACCUUCGGGCCUCGCGCGAUUGGAGCGGCCGAUAUCAGAUUAGGUAGUUGGUAGGGUAAAAGCCUACCAAGCCUACGAUCUGUAGCUGGUCUGAGAGGACGACCAGCCACACUGGAACUGAGACACGGUCCAGACUCCUACGGGAGGCAGCAGUGGGGAAUUUUGGACAAUGGGCGAAAGCCUGAUCCAGCAAUGCCGCGUGCAGGACGAAGGCCUUCGGGUUGUAAACUGCUUUGUACGGAACGAAAAAGUCCGGGUUAAUACCUGGGCCCAUGACGGUACCGUAAGAAUAAGCACCGGCUAACUACGUG